GGCAAAACCUCCAAAUUUCACGGCGAACGGCCUCCGGACGCGCCCGGAUCGGACGUCCGAAGUUUGGCGGCGAUUUUUCCCCUCCACCGCCGGCCACCGCGAAUCGGCACUGUUCCGGCCAUUUUCCGGCCACACGCGCCUGACAGCCUUGAUCCUCUCCUCAAGUCCGGCCUACCCACCAAAAAUCACGGCCAUCGGACCACCGACGCGCCGGGAUCGGAGCGUUUUCCGGCGAGGGGUCGAAAAUCUUCAAACGGUGAUUUCUCCGCCGUCCGACCUCCGUUUUGCUCACCGUCGGUCCCGUUGGAUUGCUCUCCUCACGAUCUACAAAUCUGCAAAAUUUCACAGCAAACGGCCACCGUCGGAAAAUACUGUUCCGGUGACGGUUGCCGGUGACGUGGCGGCCCGCCGGAAAUUACUGUUCCGGCGAGUACCCGAAAAUUCCGGCCAGCUCCAGUCCGCAGUGUUCGACCUCCUGAACCCAAAUCCGACUUCCGUUUCCGCCAAUUCGCGACGGUUUGGGAGAAUUGCGGAGCCGAAACUCGAAAAGCUUUCCGGCGAGAUUCCGACCCCGUCGGGUUCGAUCACCGGAAAGUAAGACCGAAUCCGUGAUCCUCAUCACGCGAGCUUCGAUUCGGUGCACGCGCGAGUAGUGGAGUGGAUCCCGAGGAGGAUCUUAGUUGAUUUGCGCUCUCCAGGUGCAAGUGGUGGUAGACGUUCUUCCGGAGCGAACCAAGUUUUCCGCUGCUGUUGUGUUUCGAGAAGUUUCUUUGUACUCUUUCAUUUCAGUGUAUUAUUUCUUUUCAGCCUUGUUGUAUUUCUGUUGUUUAGCACUUCUUAAAGCUCUGUAUACUAUUGGAAUACUUCUGUUUUAUUUAUGCACUGGACUGUUGUUGCUUUGAGAAGUGCUGGAAUUUGUGGAAUCAGUUUGUAGUUUGUGGGAGGA